CUGGCGGCGUGCCUAAUACAUGCAAAUCGAACGGUCUUUCUAUGGAAGCUUGCUUCCACUGAGAAGAUAGUGGCGAACGGGUGAGUAACACGUGGGUAACCUGCCCAUAAGAGGGGGGAUAACAUCCGGAAACGGGUGCUAAUACCGCAUAGUUUUCUUGAUCGCAUGAUCGGGAAAGGAAAGACGGCCUUUGUGCUGUCGCUUAUGGAUGGACCCGCGGCGUAUUAGUUAGUUGGUGAGGUAACGGCUCACCAAGACGAUGAUACGUAGCCGACCUGAGAGGGUGAUCGGCCACAUUGGGACUGAGACACGGCCCAAACUCCUACGGGAGGCAGCAGUAGGGAAUCUUCCGCAAUGGACGAAAGUCUGACGGAGCAACGCCGCGUGAGUGAAGAAAGGUUUUCGGAUCGUAAAACUCUGUUGUCAGAGAAGAACAAGUUGGAGAGUAACUGCUCCAGCCUUGACGGUAUCUGACCAGAAAGCCACGGCUAACUACGUGCCAGCCGCUGC
rnacentral:rRNA from 1 species